rnacentral:lncRNA from 1 species
AAGCUGUUAUUUGUCAGAGAACUUACCAGUUUUUAAAUUUGCAGAGCAAUUUCUACUCCUUUUAAGCAAUGAUUUUAUACUCUUCUGAGUUUCAAAUUUUUUAUUUGGAAAAUGAAUAUUUAAUACAUCACAUUCUCACAUAAUCUCCUUCAAAAGGGAACACAUUUGGGUUGUAACUUCAGACUAUUUCAUCAAAGAAUUCCUUUAGCUGUGAUCUCCAAUGAGAUGGGAGUUCCAUAGUCCUCCAAUCGAUGCCCACUGUUUCAAUAUACAAAAUGGUACAACAUUAACAGCAAGUACUCAUAUUGAAAGCAUUUAAAUAGUGCAAUAAUCAAGUAUAUUGAUUGUCAAUUUUACUAACAUUGUUUGCUUUAAAAUGUGGGAAAGCUCCACUCUCCCACCCCAUAUGGCUAAACCUCAGAGAAUGUCCUAAAACCAAUAGUAUCCAGCCGCUGUUCACACACAAGCAAACACUGUGUCUGCAGCCAUGAUAAGGAAAUAAUUUUCCCCAAAACAAAGACAAACAGAAAAGAUAAAAAGGAAACAGGACAUUUUACUCUUUAUGCGUUCAGAUGAAAAUUAAAGCACUUGGGAUUGAUUUGUGCCCCGCUGGAGUGACCUCAAUUUUUACAAAGUUAUCUUAGGAAUUUGCCACUCCAAAACCAAGAUUAGAGUCUUAAUUUAAAGUGUAAAACCUGUGUUUAAACCACACACUAGUUUUCCUUGCAACAAUUGUAAACCAACAACACAAGUAAAAGCAGAGACAGGAAGGAAGGUGGUGGCUAAACAUCUCAGCCGUUCUGAUGCCUUUGAUGUUAUGAACCAGUAUCAGGCUGAAGAUAACUCAACUUCUAUUCCUUAAGUUGCUUUCACUUAUUGUAUUCACAGUCUUGAUAAAUAGCCAUAACUUAGUCAAAUAUUCAGGAGCACCUCCACACAAACACAAUACACACACAUACACACACACACACACAUACACACACACACACACACACACACACACACACACACACAUCUACUGUAACUUUUAAGCCCCCCUCUAAUAUACAACUCCAAAUGUAACAUUUACAGAGUGUGUUGGCAUUAUUUCCCAGUUCUACAUGAAAGUGCUCCCCUUCAAGAUGGAUGGACAGAAAGCUGGAAGGAGAUCAUUAAGUCCAGCAAAUAAUACUUGCAAGUCUCAUGUCUACAUGUCUGCUACAGUGAACACCACGCAAGUAUGCAGUAUACAUAACACAAAUAAAAGGUAGUAAAGUAUUUUUUAAAAGUAAUAAAAUUUUAUAUGCAUGCAACGGGUAAAACUGAAGCCUCUGACUUUCUUGGGAUAUUAUUGCAUUUUAUAUGUGCUUACCAAAGAACAAACAUAACAAUUUAUAUUUAAAUUCUAAAAUUUACUUGUAUCUUAAUACAAAGGUGACUGCUCCAGCUUCACAAAAUUUUGUCUCAUAAUUAAAAGCAAAAUAUCCAUUAGCAGAAAUGUAUUUUUAACAUAACUUUGCACAAAAGCUAGUGGGUACUGAUGAAUGUUUAACUUCACACAGAGAAUGUCCCAUUACUUAAUUUGAAAAAAUUAUACUAAUUUGUCUUCUGAUUUAUUGUUUACUCCAAAUAAUAUCUGUUUGUGGGUCAAUUCUGUAAAGGAUUAUCAGUAACCCUUUAUAUUCAGUGUAUAUUUUAAUAUUCUGGUCACUGGUCACCACACACAGAAGUGGUAUGUGUGUCUGUCUGUCUAUCUGUCUGUCUGUCUGUCUGUCUGUCUGUCUUUCUGUAUGUGUCUGUGUGUGUUACAAACUAUAAUCCAUCCUUCCCUUAACACUAUUAAACACAGGCAAGCAAACCACCAUUUGUCACUCCUUUGCAUAUUAACCUCUACCAUCAUCAACCAAAGCAAAGGGCUAGACUUAAAAAUCCUCCCCUCUCUAAGCUCUCCCUUACUGAUUCAAUUAGCUUAAAAUUUUGCUGGAACACUUAGCUUAGUCUCCAUAUUUCCCCAGGCAUAAUGGAACAAUUUAUGCCUCACUCUAUAAAAGGUUUGUGCAUGACUUGGUUUACUCCUGAGAAACACAAGGCCUAAAAGGCAGGAAGAUCUACCCACCCUGAAGGAGUGCUUUCAGGACAGGAUCAUGUUUUUAUAUUUGCAAUGCACCAUUUAAGAGCUACUGUGGUUUUCUGAAGUUCCAUUUGUGGGGCACUAAAUAUGGGGCCAUUCUCUUUUUUAAUGCUGCUUUAUGCUACAUUAUACUACUAUAUUCCAAAUUGAUUUUUUUAACUUUUCCUCCUUAAAAUAAAAGACAUCUAAGUUCCCUGGGGACAGGAUUCUUGUACUCUCUCUGUUUUAAUGCUCUGCUACUUUCAGGAUAGAGCUAAAUUACUUCACAACUGCAUAAAUAUCAGCCAACAUUCCACAGCCAAACUCACAGCAAACACCCAAUUUAGGCAAGGAUUUCUUAGUAUAGCUGUUUGGUUUAAUAACUACAGGAUGCUACCUCCUCUGCAAAGAUUUCCAAAAUGUAAACUAAGCACUCCUGUCAAAUGUUAACAAAAAAUACUUUUCUUUCUCUUUGGAAAGUUUAAAGAUUCACAUUAAGAACUGGAGACAUAAGUUGUUGGUAGAGUGCUUCCUAGCCUUCUGAAGGUCCUGGGUUCAAACUCAAACACCAUAAACACACUCACACACAUAUACACACACUCACACACGUGUGUGUACACACUGAGGGAGAGGUAAGGGGAGAAUCUUACAUUAGAAGUACACAUUUAAGGAUACAAUUGUUUAAAAAGUUUACCUUAUCACAUCUAAAUAAUAGCCAUUAAAAGUAUAUUUAAUACAAAAUUCAAAAUGAAAUGUAAAAAACUUGCCAGUCUUGGUCCUACCCCCUGAGAACUCAUCAGGACAAUGCAGGAGAGCUCGCCCUGUGGUGAAGACAGGGGAGAGCUGGCAGGCAGCCCAACCCUUUAACUACCCAAGCCCAGAACCAGGGUUAUGACUUGACUCACCCCAACAUCAGUCCAAUCUACGAUCUUCUGGAGCAUGUGUAGGGGCCAGUUCUGCAGACUCAAAGAUGUAGGAUCUCCACAACACAAGGCAACAACAAGAUAUCCAAGAUGAGUCCCAGUCAGGGCCCAGCAUCAACAGUGUAGCAGAAACCAGAGGCCUCAAACCAUACCAAUGACUCUGCAAUGAACACUUGCAAGUGAAGAUAUAUGGGUAAAGGGUUUACUGCAUGACUCACUGUAUCACACUACAGCUACCAUGACGAGAUUGAGUUUUUCCUUCUUGUUUUUUUUCUUUUUUCUCUUAAAUUGCAAGGGCAGAGGGUAGAUAUGCAGGGACAGGGAAAUAAAAGGGACCAAGAUGCAUGAUGUGAAAGAUAGGAAGAAUAAAUGAAAAGAAAACAAAGAAAUCAAGAGGAAAAAACAGAAAAUAUGCCAGUCUAAUAUUCAUCAUGCUUGAAAAAUGAUAGUACCAGCAUGUCUUUCUAAAAGAAUGACAAGAGAAAAUAGAGUUGGAAAACCCCCCUGAUGAUCAAAUAGAAUGAAGUGAUUUACUAUGUAAUAAAGAAUUCAAAUGGAUGAACUACAUGGUCAGAAAUUGCAAAGCUAUGUGUUGGUCAGGUCAGGGCUAAAACCCUAGUUAAUGACUCCAAGCCCAGUCAUUUUAAUUACUACUAGAGCACAAGGAGUAAUUUAUACAAAUGGUACAGCACUCUUCCAGUGUCCUCUAUAGCCAUGAUAUGUAAGACACACAGGGACCCAUGGUCAUCAUCAACAAACAUCAGUCAUAAUUUUUGAAUACAGAGAUUUAGGUCAAAAGUGAAAAGAUUCUGGAAACUUGAACAUAUGUCAAGAGUUUCCUCUCUGCCGCAAAACUAGAAGAGAUAUCACUCUCUGUGGAAAGAAGCCUCCUAGCACAAUGGACCAUGGAGUGGCAUUUCAGAGAAACAAAGAGCUGUGGGUGGGAUGCAAGUCAGUGCACAUCAGGCUUUAUUUCCUGGGAAUGGAAGAGAAAAGGAAACCCAAGAGUAUGCAGAUCAUGCCAGGAAUUCCAUUUUGGAAGGAGGAUACUGUCUUCAAAGCAGCCAAUGACUCCCACUUCCCUUUGCUUUGAUAUACAGCCCAUCACCAGCUUCAUUAAAACUAUCCCCCAUCUUUUAUAACCUGAAGAUCUGAUCCCAAAUAAUUCUGUGGAAAUACCACGUCUCUUGGGACAAGUGAUAAAAUGAUGUUUCAUCUGUAUGUCAACAUGAGCAAAAGUGUCCAUUGAAAGGGGCUGGACGGAAACACGGUAGAGUCAAACAUUAUAAAUGAACAUUCUUUCUCCACUGUCUUCGAAAGAGAAGAAAAGAAUUUGUGGCCAGAUAAGGAGCCCAAGCCUGAGAUACUAUAGCAUUUUACAGCUUAGGGUCACCAGGAGGGGGACAGAGGGAGGGCAGGAUGGAGGAGUUAAGCAAGUGCUAGGCCAAGAAUUGACAGGGGAAAUGUGUGGUGUUGGUCCUUGGAGGCUGUGGGGUGAGAACAGG